CAGCCACGGACUUCAGUCUGGUGGCGAGUGGCGAACGGGUGAGUAAUGUAUCGGAACGUGCUAAACAGCAAGAGGAUAACACGCGAAAGCGUAUUAAUACCUGCCCUUCAGAAAGCGGGGACGCUGGGCCUCGCACUAUUAAACGGCCGAUAUCGGAUUGGCCUCAGUUGGUGAAGUAACGGCUCACCAAGGCGACGAUCCGUAGCUGGUUUUGAGAGGACGACCAGCCACACUGGGACUGAGACACGGCCCAGACUACAAAGAAGUAGUGGAAUUUUGGACAAUGAAACCUGAUCAGCCAUCCCGCGUGUGCGAUGAAGGCGCUGGGUUGUAAGCACUUUUGGCAGGAAAGAAACGGCCUGGGAUAAUACCCCGUGCAACUGACAGUACCUGCAGAAUAAGCACCGGCUAACUACGUGCGCGACCGCGGUAAUACGUAGGUACAAGCGUUAAUCGGAAUUACUGGGCAUCAAGGCGUGAGCGGUUCGGAAAGAAAGAUGUGAAAUCCCCCAGAGCUUAACUUUGGGAACUGCAUUUUUAACUUCAAUAGGUCAUCAGAGGAAAUUCACGUUCACGCGUGUAUGCGAGUAAAUGCGUAGAUAUGGGCUUACACCGAUGGCGAAGGCAGCCUCCUGGGAUAACACUGACGCUCAUGCACGAAAGCGUGGGGAGCAAACAGGAUUGAAUACCUGGUGGCGAUCACGCCUAACGAUGCUCUGCUUCGCUUCUGUGGGGCCUUCCGGGCCUUGGUAGCGCAGCUAACGCGUGAAGUUGACCGCCUGGGGAAGUACGGUCGCAAGAUUAAAACUCAAAGGAAUUGACCAGGACCACUGAAAGCGGUGGAUGAUGUGGAUUAAUUCGAUGCAACGCGAAAAACCUUACCUACCCUUGACAUGUCUGGAAUCCCGAAGAGAUUUGGGAGUGCUCGCAAGAGAACCGGAACACAGGUGCUGCAUGGCUGUCGUCAGCUCGUGUCGUGAGAUGUUGGGUUAAGUCCCGCAACGAGCGCAACCCUUGUCGUGGAUUGCUGCAAAGGAGCACUCUAACCAGGGGCCUGCAGUGACAAACCGAGGAAGGUGGGGAUGACGUCGAAGUCCUCAUGGCCCAUAUGGGUAGGGCUUCUUACCCCACGUCGCACAAUGGUCAGGACAGAGGGUCGCCAACCCGCGAGGGAACUAAUCAGAAACCCGAUCGUAGUCCGGAUCGCAGUCUGCAACUCGACUGCGUGAAGUCGGAAUCGCUAGUAAUCGCGGAUCGGCAUGCCUUGGUGAAUACGUUCCCGGGUCUUGUACACGCCGCCAUCACCAUGGGAGUGGGUUUUACCAGAAGUAGUUAGCUAACCGUCAGGAGGGGCGAUUACCACCGGUAAGUUCGCUGACUGGGAACAGUC
rnacentral:rRNA from 1 species